ACGCUGUCACCAUAGCAACAAAAAACCAUUCAGAACAGGCAUGCCGCUGCAACCGAUACAGGAAAUGGAAAGUAAUGAAACCGAAAAUGAUGACUCGUUUUAUAUUCCCCGGUCCGAAACUUCAGAAAGAAAUUACUUUGUUUCAUCUUCAUCUUGGUCUUCACAACUAAUAAAUGUAGAGGCUACAGAGAUUGAAAAAAAAUUAAUCAUGCCCUUUACAAAGAAAGCU